AGGGACAGAGCGCCACAAAGUGCCACGCAUGGUGCAAAGUGCCACGCACAGCACAAAGUGCCACAUUGCAGGAUACGUAUUUCAUCGAAAGAAAAUGAGAAAGUUUGAAAGCGACAGAAAGAGAUUUUUAUGAAUUUAUUUUACAGUAUUUCCAAAAGAUCAUGGCAUAUCAACCAUUGCAUUAUGUAUAAGUAUGUAUGUAUUUUCCGUAUAAGAAAAACUAGUUUACUUACUGGGUUUUGUACUCAUUAUAGUUUAUUGUGAUUCAGUUUCCAGAAGUCAGGAUUGAUUCGUGAUGAGUGAGAAGAUGGAUUUGAAUUGAGGAUAGUAGAUGGUUUGGUUAAGUUUUUAAGUUAUUCUGCUGGCUUUUGUAUUUG
rnacentral:lncRNA from 1 species